rnacentral:rRNA from 1 species
AGUGAACGCUGGCGGUAGGCCUAACACAUGCAAGUCGAACGGCAGCACAGUAAGAGCUUGCUCUUACGGGUGGCGGGUGGCGGACGGGUGAGGAAUACAUCGGAAUCUACUUUUUCGUGGGGGAUAACGUGGGGAAACUUACGCUAAUACCGCAUACGACCUACGGGUGAAAGCAGGGGAUCUUCGGACCUUGCGCGAUUGAAUGAGCCGAUGUCGGAUUAGCUAGUUGGCGGGGUAAAGGCCCACCAAGGCGACGAUCCGUAGCUGGUCUGAGAGGAUGAUCAGCCACACUGGAACUGAGACACGGUCCAGACUCCUACGGGAGGCAGCAGUGGGGAAUAUUGGACAAUGGGCGCAAGCCUGAUCCAGCCAUACCGCGUGGGUGAAGAAGGCCUUCGGGUUGUAAAGCCCUUUUGUUGGGAAAGAAAAGCAGCAGGUUAAUACCCCGCUGUUCUGACGGUACCCAAAGAAUAAGCACCGGCUAACUUCGUG